rnacentral:lncRNA from 1 species
UGCAAACAGGGACAGUUUCGUUUGCAAACAAGACACACGGAUUUGGCAUUGGAGAAAUAGGAUGAGACGAACACAUAGCGCUAUGUCUCGAGCCAUUCUUAGCCUGUCAUUUUGGUAAUUUGUCUGGAAUUAAAAAAAUAUUCCGCUAAUAUGUACAUUUUUAUGAAAUGCUAUUUUUUCUUGGACCUGCAAAUACGAUUGUAGAGUCAUGUAAUGCUUUUACUAUAAAAAAUAUAUUUCCACCCUUACUCUUGUCCACAGUGGUCAGCGAACGCACAACCUUCUGGUCCGCAGCCCUGUGCGAUAUCAAAAUUCCUGCUUUGCUAUCUAGUGCUUACUGGACGAAGAACAGUUUCUAAAACUGCAAAUCUACGGCUCUGGUCCGUCCAAGCAGUGAGGUUAAAUGGUAGACAUGUUCUCUGAUAUCCACUUAGUUUUAAUUAUAAUUUUGGGUAUAGGGGGGUCACUUGUUAUUUUUUUCUUCAGGCAUUCAGGGAGGGUUUAGGUCACAUGUAUUUUACUGAAGGGAGGGCCAUCUAUUUUCACUUCAUAGACGUCCGAAUUUCUCUAUAUAACCUUUAUUAUAAAUAACGGUUGAAGAGGAAGAGGCGAAGCGAGAGGCCCAACUCAACCAACAAUAUGUAUUCUCCAGCAGGCACAUGGUUGCCACAGUGUUGAAGCAGACGUAUGACGCUUUUGAGACUGAGAGGACUGUAAAGGAUGGGUUCAGGAGGACAGGUAUCUUUCAAUUUGACCCACAUGUCAUGGCUGGGUCAAUGUGGUGUGGGAGGGAAGAGAUGAGGCCUGAAGUCAGUGCUGCUGGACCCUGUGAUGAUGGGCCAAUGGAAGAACAACCCGAACGAGUGUGUCCGAGACCAUGGCAAGAAGGCAGUAAAGAGGAAUCUGAUGUCAAACUGGUGCUGCCUGGGUCAUCCUUGCCAGUUUCUAUGCCAUCGGAGUCUGUUCUGAAGCGAGAGGAGAUAUUUGAAGUAGUGCUUAAAAAACAAGAGGAAAUUAAGGAGGAGGAGUUGAAUGUUGUGUCAAACAUAUCCUCAGUAGACCUUCAUGUCACGGACUCCAGUGAGUUGAGGAGACAGAACUGCACAACAUUUUUUAAAUAAUGCCAAUAAUCAAUAUUGGAUGAUCAUUAUCAAGUAAAACCUAUCGAGUGGGAGGGCAAAGAGGCAGGUGCUCGAGCACAAGUAGAUCCCUAUCUGUGCACGUGCCUGGUUUACCGUGUGGUCUAAAUAAAGUCAUAUUGGAUCAUUGAUUGAUGUAGACCUUUUCAAUAAAAUGACAUUUCCUAAAUCUCAAUUCACUGGAAAAUCUACAUGAUGUGUGAUGAGGUAUCCUCUUUAGUGCCCUAUAAAUUCGACAUAAUAGUUUG